GACAGACUUUAAUGAAGAUUAUUGCUGUGGAAACUAAUUUCGGUUCUUUUGACUGAAGCCAUUAAAACUAGGACCUUCGUUUAUUCAAAAAUGGAUAAGUGACCUUGCAAAUGCAAUUCAGCAAAUAGUUACUUAAUCUGUGCUAUAUACAGGCCUGGUACUGGGGAAGCAGGUGCCAGAGGGGCUCCUGUAUUAUUGGGGGAAAAUGUAAAUAUCACAUAUGAAACAGACAACACAAAGCAUUAUAUGCAGGGCUAGCAAGAGAGGUAUUGAGAAAAUAAUGACUAGAAGAGCUCAGUUUAUUUGCAGUAUUCCUAGUUGCAAGAUUAACAGAAAGGCGUGGCCAUUACAGUUGAUUCUCUCUUCCUUCUGAGGUUGUUUUUUUUCCUUGGCCUUUACCAACCUUUUUUUAAUCACGUUUUCCUGUCACUCCUGUGCCCAGGUCUGAAACAAAGUCCCUUUCCUCUUAGUUCAGUUGAGACGUGUUGGGAUUUUUCAGAAGAACCUUCACAGAUUUAGAACAUAUUAAUGCUCCAGGCCUCCAGGCGUAGAGGGAGAAGGGAGAUGUAAAAGGAAGGCAUGUCAGGACUUCCUGCUGAAGUGAAGGCCGUGAACCAGAUAAAGGAGGUGGUGAGCUGGUAACUUCAUCUUUGUACACAAAUUAUUAUUUUUUUUUUAAAAAAAGAUCAUGCUUUCUGUCAGACUGUUUGCAAAUCACUGACUUUAGCAGCCAUGUUUUUGGUAUGUGUUUGUCUGACUUACCUACUUUUAAAAAAAUCCUCGAGUAUGAAUGAGAGAGGGAAGAAUUUUACAUUGUUAGUAAAUUUUAAAAAAGAAAUAAAAAAAACAGCAACUGAAUGGAGUUGACAUUAGACCAUAUAAAUAGUACACUCUUAAAUUUAUAGAGUAGCAAUUGUGCCUUCUUUUUACUUGAGUUCAUUUUUUAAAAAACUCAGCAGUAACUUCUGAGUUUUAUCGGACAUCCAAAGUUAGGAACCUAUUUAUGGCAAAAGAGAAGGGGCAAAUUCCAAACCGCU